UACGAAGGGGGGCUAGCGUUGCUCGGAAUUACUGGGCGUAAAGCGCACGUAGGCGGUCUUUUAAGUCGGGGGUGAAAUCCUGGAGCUCAACUCCAGAACUGCCUUCGAUACUGGAAGACUCGAGUCCGGGAGAGGUGAGUGGAACUGCGAGUGUAGAGGUGAAAUUCGUAGAUAUUCGCAAGAACACCAGUGGCGAAGGCGGCUCACUGGCCCGGUACUGACGCUGAGGCGCGAAAAGCUAGGGGGAGCAAACAGGGAUUAAGAAACCCUUG
rnacentral:rRNA from 1 species